rnacentral:rRNA from 1 species
AACGAACGCUGGCGGCAGGCUUAACACAUGCAAGUCGAGCGCCCCGCAAGGGGAGCGGCAGACGGGUGAGUAACGCGUGGGAAUCUACCCAUCUCUACGGAAUAACGCAUGGAAACGUGUGCUAAUACCGUAUACGUCCUUCGGGAGAAAGAUUUAUCGGAGAUGGAUGAGCCCGCGUUGGAUUAGCUAGUUGGUGGGGUAAAGGCCUACCAAGGCGACGAUCCAUAGCUGGUCUGAGAGGAUGAUCAGCCACACUGGGACUGAGACACGGCCCAGACUGCUACGGGAGGCAGCAGUGGGGAAUAUUGGACAAUGGGCGCAAGCCUGACCCAGCCAUGCCGCGUGAGUGAUGAAGGCCCUAGGGUUGUAAAGCUCUUUCACCGGUAAAGAUAAUGACGGUAACCGGAGAAGAAGCCCCGGCUAACUUCGUGCCAGCCGCCGCGGUAAUAC